UACGGGGGGGGCAAGCGUUGUUCGGAAUUACUGGGCGUAAAGGGCUCGUAGGUGGCCAACUAAGUCAGACGUGAAAUCCCUCGGCUUAACCGGGGAACUGCGUCUGAUACUGGAUGGCUUGAGUUUGGGAGAGGGACGCGGAAUUCCAGGUGUAGCGGUGAAAUGCGUAGAUAUCUGGAGGAACACCGGUGGCGAAGGCGGCGUCCUGGACCAACACUGACACUGAGGAGCGAAAGCGUGGGUAGCAAACAGG
rnacentral:rRNA from 1 species